GUGAGUACUGCUCCAGAGUUUACUGAACCUGCAGAGUCAGUCCAGAGCCAGAGUCUUGCAGGAUUCAGUGUACAGUGUACAGAGGGAAAGUCCAGAAGAGUUCAGAAAGGGAAACUGAGACUUGUAAUAGUUUAGAGUGGACAUGUAUUUAUAAAGAGAUGUAUCAGUUGUAUAUUCAGUUAGAAUUGUGCUUGACUUAGUACUGUUUUGUGUUGUAAUUC